rnacentral:rRNA from 1 species
UAACUGAAGAGUUUGAUCAUGGCUCAGAUUGAACGCUGGCGGCAGGCUUAACACAUGCAAGUCGAGCGGGGGAAGGUAGCUUGCUACUGGACCUAGCGGCGGACGGGUGAGUAAUGCUUAGGAAUCUGCCUAUUAGUGGGGGACAACAUCUCGAAAGGGAUGCUAAUACCGCAUACGUCCUACGGGAGAAAGCAGGGGAUCUUCGGACCUUGCGCUAAUAGAUGAGCCUAAGUCGGAUUAGCUAGUUGGUGGGGUAAAGGCCUACCAAGGCGACGAUCUGUAGCGGGUCUGAGAGGAUGAUCCGCCACACUGGGACUGAGACACGGCCCAGACUCCUACGGGAGGCAGCAGUGGGGAAUAUUGGACAAUGGGGGGAACCCUGAUCCAGCCAUGCCGCGUGUGUGAAGAAGGCCUUAUGGUUGUAAAGCACUUUAAGCGAGGAGGAGGCUACUUUAGUUAAUACCUAGAGAUAGUGGACGUUACUCGCAGAAUAAGCACCGGCUAACUCUGUGCCAGCAGCCGCGGUAAUACAGAGGGUGCGAGCGUUAAUCGGAUUUACUGGGCGUAAAGCGUGCGUAGGCGGCUUAUUAAGUCGGAUGUGAAAUCCCCGAGCUUAACUUGGGAAUUGCAUUCGAUACUGGUGAGCUAGAGUAUGGGAGAGGAUGGUAGAAUUCCAGGUGUAGCGGUGAAAUGCGUAGAGAUCUGGAGGAAUACCGAUGGCGAAGGCAGCCAUCUGGCCUAAUACUGACGCUGAGGUACGAAAGCAUGGGGAGCAAACAGGAUUAGAUACCCUGGUAGUCCAUGCCGUAAACGAUGUCUACUAGCCGUUGGGGCCUUUGAGGCUUUAGUGGCGCAGCUAACGCGAUAAGUAGACCGCCUGGGGAGUACGGUCGCAAGACUAAAACUCAAAUGAAUUGACGGGGGCCCGCACAAGCGGUGGAGCAUGUGGUUUAAUUCGAUGCAACGCGAAGAACCUUACCUGGCCUUGACAUACUAGAAACUUUCCAGAGAUGGAUUGGUGCCUUCGGGAAUCUAGAUACAGGUGCUGCAUGGCUGUCGUCAGCUCGUGUCGUGAGAUGUUGGGUUAAGUCCCGCAACGAGCGCAACCCUUUUCCUUACUUGCCAGCAUUUCGGAUGGGAACUUUAAGGAUACUGCCAGUGACAAACUGGAGGAAGGCGGGGACGACGUCAAGUCAUCA